rnacentral:rRNA from 1 species
CCUACGGGUGGCAGCAGUGGGGAAUAUUGCACAAUGGGGGAAACCCUGAUGCAGCGACGCCGCGUGUGGGAAGACGGUCCUCUGGAUUGUAAACCACUGUCCCCAGGGACGAAGAUGACGGUACCUGGUGAGGAAUCUCCAGCUAACUACGUGCCAGCAGCCGCGGUAAUACUUAGGGAGCGAGCGUUGUCCGUAAUUACUGGGUGAAAAGGGAGCGUAGGCGGGGAUGCAAGUUGGGUGUCAAAACUACCGGCUAAACUGGUAGUCGCACUCAAAACUGCAGCUCGUGAGUGAAGUAGAGGCAGGCGGAAUUCCGAGUGUAGCGGUGAAAUGCGUAGAUAUUAGGAGGAACACCAGUGGCGAAGGCGGCCUGCUGGGCUUUUACUGACGCUGAGGCUCGAAAGUGUGGGGAGCAAACAGGAUUAGAUACCCCAGUAGUC